rnacentral:rRNA from 1 species
AGUCGUGGGGCAGCGCAGGUAGCAAUACUGGGCGGCGACCGGCAAACGGGUGCGGAACACGUACACAACCUUCCGAGAAGUGGGGAAUAGCCCAGAGAAAUUUGGAUUANNACCCCGUAACAUAACGAUGUGGCAUCACAUUGUUAUUAUAGCUUCGGCGCUUCUUGAUGGGUGUGCGGCUGAUUAGAUAGUUGGCGGGGUAACGGCCCACCAAGUCUACGAUCAGUAGCUGAUGUGAGAGCAUGAUCAGCCACACGGGCACUGAGACACGGGCCCGACUCCUACGGGAGGCAGCAGUAAGGAAUAUUGGUCAAUGGACGCAAGUCUGAACCAGCCAUGCCGCGUGAAGGAUUAAGGUCCUCUGGAUUGUAAACUUCUUUUAUCUGGGACGAAAAAAGGCGAUUCUUCGUCACUUGACGGUACCAGAUGAAUAAGCACCGGCUAACUCCGUGCCAGCAGCCGCGGUAAUACGGAGGGUGCAAGCGUUAUCCGGAUUCACUGGGUUUAAAGGGUGCGUAGGCGGGCAGGUAAGUCAGUGGUGAAAUCCUAGAGCUUAACUCUAGAACUGCCAUUGAUACUAUCUGUCUUGAAUAUUGUGGAGGUAAGCGGAAUAUNUCAUGUAGCGGUGAAAUGC